rnacentral:rRNA from 1 species
UACGUAGGUGGCGAGCGUUAUCCGGAAUUACUGGGCGUAAAGCGCACGCAGGCGGUCUAGCAAGUCUGACGUGAAAGCUCCUGGCUUAACUGGGAGAGGUCGUUGGAAACUGCUGGGCUUGAGGCAAUGAGAGGGGUGUAGAAUUCCCGGUGUAGUGGUGGAAUGCGUAGAUAUCGGGAGGAAUACCAGUGGCGAAAGCGGCACCCUGGCAUUGGCCUGACGCUCAUGUGCGAAAGCGUGGGGAGCGAACGGG